CUUUCAAAUUGUUUUAUUAGUUAAUAGUCCUCGACUAUUUUAAAGGGAAUUGAGUUAAAAGCUCAAGCUGCCCCAGCAUCUGUAAGGAUGAUGAACAUUGCAUAAACUCACUGAGAUUAUUCUUGGGAAGAGGCAAUAAGUAAAGUGAUUCUAAGCCAGAAGACCUACUAAUAAAAGAAAUAAAAA
rnacentral:ncRNA from 2 species